rnacentral:rRNA from 1 species
AGCUCCAUUGGCGUAUAUUAAAGUUGUUGCGGUUAAAAAGCUCGUAGUUGGAUCUGUGUAUCGGACGGUCGGUUCGCCGCUCGCGGUGUUUAACUGACCGGUCCGGACGUCCUGCCGGUGGGACCCGUCCAGGGCCCCGUAAUCCCUCCGUGCUGCUCUUCACCGAGUGGUGCGGUGGGCCGGCACGUUUACUUUGAACAAAUUUGAGUGCUCAAAGCAGGCCUUAUGUUGCCUGAAAACUGUGUGCAUGGAAUAAUGGAAUAGGACCUUGGUUCUAUUUUGUUGGCUUUUCUGAACUCGAGGUAAUGAUUAAUAGGGACAGACGGGGGCAUUCGUAUUGCGACGUUAGAGGUGAAAUUCUUGGAUCGUCGCAAGACGAACCGAUGCGAAAGCGUUUGCCAAGAAUGUUUUCGCUAAUCAAGAACGAAAGUUAGAGGUUCGAAGGCGAUCAGAUACCGCCCUAGUUCUAACCAUAAACGAUGCCAGCCAGCGAUGCGCCGAAGUUUAUUUAAAUGACUCGGCGCGC